GAUGAACGCUGGCGGCGUGCCUAAUACAUGCAAGUCGAACGGAAAGGCGACCAGCUUGGUCGUGUUGCUUGAGCGGCGAACGGGUGAGUAACACGUGGGUGACCUGCCUUUUACUCCGGGAUAAGUUCGGGAAACUGGGGCUAAUACCGGAUAGGACCUCGAAUUAGAUGCUUAUGGAGGGAAGGAUAUUUUUGUUGUGCCUGAUGAGCUCACGUCCUAUCAGCUUGUUGGUGGGUUAGUUGCCUACUAAGGCGUCGACCGGUAGCCGGCCGGCGAGGGAGGCCAGCCUCGUUGGGACAGAGGUACCGCACAGACACCGACGGGAGGAAGCGGUGGGGAAUCUUGCACAAUGGGAGCAUGCCUGAGGCAGCGACGCCGCGUGAGGGAGGACGGCCGUCGGGUUGUAAACUCCUUUCGUUAGGGACGAAGCCGCACUUUUUUGGGGUGUGGUGACGGUACCUUUGUUAAGAAGCACCGGCUAACUACGUG
rnacentral:rRNA from 1 species